CAGCAGCCGCGGGAAUACGUAGGUGGCAAGCGUUGUCCGGAAUUAUUGGGCGUAAAGCGCGCGCAGGCGGAUCAGUCAGUCUGUCUUAAAAGUUCGGGGCUUAACCCCGUGAGGGGAUGGAAACUGCUGAUCUAGAGUAUCGGAGAGGAAAGUGGAAUUCCUAGUGUAGCGGUGAAAUGCGUAGAUAUUAGGAAGAACACCAGUGGCGAAGGCGACUUUCUGGACGAAAACUGACGCUGAGGCGCGAAAGCCAGGGGAGCGAACGGGAUUAGAUACCCCGGUAGUCCCUGUCUCUUAUACC
rnacentral:rRNA from 1 species